CCUCACCCUUACCUAAACUUCAGCGAGUAGAGGCACGUGCAAGCCCUUGGGCCGUAAACUCCUUACACCUGGGAAGCAUCGCCUGUGGUAAAUCUAUGCAGCUAGAAACUUCAGCUCUGAGGAAGUCCUGGGAUACUGCGGCAGCCGCUGGGUAUCCAGGCGGCCCAGGACUCCCGAGGCCGGUGUGGGUGGCUCCGGGGACGCUGCCCACCAGCCCGGGGUCUUCCUCUACGGGGGACUCAACGAAAGGCCCAGGGAAGGCGGAGGACAGCAGCCCUGCGCUCUGCUGACAUCUUUCUCCUCCUCCUCCAGGGCUUAGGGUGAAGGCUUCCCCUGUCGCCCGGAGACAUUAUUCAGGAUAAACCUUCUGAGGUGAUUUCAUCUCCCCCAGUCCUGGUUUCUUCCCUUGGACUCAGUAGAAAUGACUUUGUUUCUUCCACCUUGGUUCAGAGGGCGGGUCCUUACAGUGUUUUGUGUUUUCAUUUGUUUGUUACGGCUUAGAUCCCUUGUUCCCAUACGGUUUGAAACUACUUUUUGUCCAUUCAUCAGAAUGGGUGCGCUUCCCAGGCUCAGAAUCCUGGGGGUCCGGGUGCCCCUGUCCUCAGUGGACAGGGUAGCCCUAUCCCAUAAACUCUCCCUCUUGCACUUCGGAAUGGCGCAUUGGACAUUCACGUAAAGAAAAGAAAACAUCAUAAUUGAAACCUAAUAUAAUAAUUCUGAAAUCUAAAGACUAAGCCAUCUGAGAAAGAACCCUAAAUAUUUCCAUAUUAAUGCCUGCUUCCCAUGAUACGACUGGGCAUUCCUGGAUCUUCUUUUGUUCACUGAAUUCUCCAUGCUCCAGACCCAACUACAGAACCAACAUCACCAAAGCCUCACUGGCUCACGGAGUCCUUGUGAAAACCAGGAGAUGCUAGUGGUCAGAGCAUGGUUUCAGGAAUGGUCUUUCCGAGGUCUCCUCUCUUCUCCAUUCUUCUACCCCUGUGAAGGUCAAACUACCCAUGAGCCCUUUCCCUUUCACUCAAAUCAACACUUAGCAGUAAUCCCUUUUAUAUGUAAUACAGAUAUUCUUCUAUGAACAACCUACCUGUUCAAUGACUGUUCAUAUUUCGACCCACCACUUGGACUAAUGACCCAUCUUUUAAAUUUGUAUAAUUCUGUACAUGUUGUCGACAGAGCCUCAAUGUCUCUUUUUUGUACAGUACACCUUGUUUACACAGUACAGUCAUUUUUGCUGAUGAUACCGUACAGUACAGUACUGUAGUUUCAUGUUCUGUUACACAUUAUAGUACCACAUAUAAGAGGUAUGCAAAUAAAAGCCAAGUCUUCAACUCGGAGUUUCCUUUGACCAUUUCUUUGUUCUGCACCUUGUAAUGCACAUAUAAUAUGUAAUUCCUCAUUUAGUGGCCAAUUCAUUUAACUACCAGGUCACAGGAAAGGAAGUCAGUCAUGAAAUUAGGAAUCCCUGUGGCUACUAUAUUUAGGCACAUUCACUAAGCAUGUUAGGCAAAUA